rnacentral:rRNA from 1 species
CGCCUUUUGGUUUAUAAACAUAAAAGGUCCUGCCUGCCCAGUGACACCUGUUCAACGGCCGCGGUAUUAUGACCGUGCAAAGGUAGCGUAAUCACUUGUCCUUUAAAUAAAGACCAGUAUGAACGGCAAGACGAGAGCCUAACUGUCUCUCUGUACUAGUCAAUGAAAUUGAUUUUUCCGUGCAGAAGCGGAAAUAUUACUAUAAGACGAGAAGACCCUGUGGAGCUUCAAGUCAAAACUAGUUAUUUAUAUAACAUAGCUAAAGACUUUAGGUUGGGGCGACCGUGAGGUACAAUAAAACCCUCAAGAUAAAAUCAUAGAAGCACACUUCAAAUAAACAAAAUAUUGAUAUAUUGACCCAAAGAUUGAUCAACGAACCAAGUUACCCCAGGGAUAACAGCGCAAUCCACUCAAAGAGUCCUUAUCGACGAGCGGGUUUACGACCUCGAUGUUGGAUCAGGACCCCCAAAUAAUGUAACAAUUAUUAAAGGUUCGUUUGUUCAACGAUUAAAGUCCU